UAUUGAACAGCCCUACUCUAAACCUAUAAGUUAUAUCCCAAUUCAUAAAUUUUAACACAAAAUCUAUUUUUCUUUGUACUUUUGAUAGCAGAUAGAAGUGUUUCUUGUGUUUUAGAGAUGAGGUGAAAACUAAUGGUGCUAUGGAGUAACGGCUUACUGUGGGAAAUUGUAUCGUUACGUAGUCAAUCAAAGCAGCAGGUGUGCUUAUGAUUACCAUUGGACUAAUCACAACGCUAUUGCUUGCACAUAAGGGUGCUUCUACUAAACAAAGAUUUUAAAUUAAUUGCAUCAGAGGCAUCAAGACGCAGUCCAGGGUUACACAUUCUACAUUGAAUCUCAUCAACAAAAAAAUUCUGCAUAACAGCGUCUAGAAACAUCGUAAAUAAGAUGAUCAAAAGUAAUAAAGACAUAAUCCUCCACUUACCCGAAAGAAGAAGUCAUACAAUUGAAAGAGAUGGUAUUUGUCAGCGGGAUCAUGAUGAUUGACAUACUUGAGAAGUUUGAUCUCAUCACGGCUCUGGACAAAAAAGUCUUUGUUGUUCUUUAUGAUCUUUGGUUCAUUCUCAUUAAUGAGUGCAUGCACUAAACCACGAGAGUCGAGUGUAUAUAUAGUAACUUCGGUGCGCAAAGAAGAAAAAUGAGAAAUGUGGUGCAUAGAAAAGACCAGAGAUAAUCAAAGUGAAUAUCAAUUUUAUUCAAAUGUUUA